ACCCAGCUGACGAGCCCCAAAUAGGACGAAACGCGCGUCCUGAAU
rnacentral:hammerhead_ribozyme from 1 species